rnacentral:rRNA from 1 species
UACGGAGGGUGCAGGCGUUAUCCGGAUUUACCGGGUUUAAAGGGUGCGUAGGUGGGUAGGAAAGUCAGUGGUGAAAUCUUCGGGCUUAACCCGGAAACUGCCAUUGAUACUAUUUAUCUUGAAUACUCUGGAGGUAAGCGGAAUAUGUCAUGUAGCGGUGAAAUGCUUAGAUAUGACAUAGAACACCAAUGCGAAGGCAGCUUACUACAUAGUAUGACACUUGAGGCACGAAAGCGUGGGGAUCAAACAGG